rnacentral:tRNA from 2 species
GCGAGAGUGGCGGAAUGGCAGACGCGCAAGGCUCAGGACCUUGUGAAGGCAACUUCGUGGGGGUUCAAGUCCCCCCUCUCGCACCA